AGCAUGAGAAAAAAGUCCUGUAUUUGUUCUGCACAGUGCAAGCAAAUUUAAUAACAUGCUUGCACUGUGUUUCCUUGCAGCUUGUCUCUGGUGUCUCUAUAAAUGGAUAACAGGAGACAAAAGGGCCAGGAAAGAGUAUUGUGCAUGUGUUUGGAGCCUGCUUGUGGUAUUGCGUGUGUGUAGAGUGAGCUGGUCGUGGUGUGGUAUUGUGUAAUAAGGUCGGUUUUAGUCGUGUUGUGUUUGUGGUGUAAUGUG